rnacentral:rRNA from 1 species
AAUGAACGUUGGCGGCGUGGAUUAGGCAUGCAAGUCGCGCGAGAAGUUUCCUUCGGGAGACGGACAGCGGCGGAAGGGAGAGGAAUAAGUAGAAAUCUGCCCUCGGGACGGGGAUAGCGGCGGGAAACUGCCGGUAAUACCCGAUAACAUCUUUGGAUCAAAUGGUGUGAUUCCGCCUGAGGAUGAGUCUACUUCCUAUUAGCUAGUUGGUGUGGUAAUGGCUCACCAAGGCAACGAUGGGUAGCGGGUGUGAGAGCACGACCCGCCUCACUGGGACUGAGACACUGCCCAGACACCUACGGGUGGCUGCAGUCGAGAAUCUUCGGCAAUGGGGGAAACCCUGACCGAGCGACGCCGCGUGCGGGAUGAAGGCCCUUGGGUUGUAAACCGCUGUCGUAAGGGAACAAAUCUAUAGGGGUACUCCCCUAUGGUUGAGUGAUCUUAGGAGGAAGGACGGGCUAAGUUCGUG